rnacentral:tRNA from 1 species
CUUCGUCUAGUAUAAGUUAGUAUGGUUGUUUUCCAAACAACAGGUUAGGAAUUAGAUGAAGU